ACGAACGCUGGCGGCGUGCUUAACACAUGCAAGUCGAACGGAAAGGCCCUGCUUGCAGGGUACUCGAGUGGCGAACGGGUGAGUAACACGUGGGUGAUCUGCCCUGCACUUCGGGAUAAGCCUGGGAAACUGGGUCUAAUACCGGAUAGGAGCCAUUUUUAGUGUGAUGGUUGGAAAGUUUUUUCGGUGUAGGAUGAGCUCGCGGCCUAUCAGCUUGUUGGUGGGGUAAUGGCCUACCAAGGCGGCGACGGGUAGCCGGCCUGAGAGGGUGGACGGCCACAUUGGGACUGAGAUACGGCCCAGACUCCUACGGGAGGCAGCAGUGGGGAAUAUUGCACAAUGGGCGCAAGCCUGAUGCAGCGACGCCGCGUGGGGGAUGACGGCCUUCGGGUUGUAAACUCCUUUCGCUAGGGACGAAGCUUUUUGUGACGGUACCUAGAUAAGAGGCACCGGCUAACUACGUG
rnacentral:rRNA from 1 species